rnacentral:sRNA from 1 species
AAAGGUGCAAAUUGAAACUCGAAAGCCCGCAAAUUAACGGGGUGUCUCUCUCCUGAUGAAGAGGUAUUGCACUCUCAGUCUCGCCAUGUUGAAGUCAGAAUGGCCUGUAUUCACUAUCUUCGAGAGAACAGAGAGAAAUUUGAAGCGUUUAUAGAAGGAUCAUUUGAAGAAUAUUUAAAGCGUUUGGAAAAUCCACAGGAAUGGGUAGGACAAGUGGAAAUAAGUGCCCUUUCUCUUAUGUACAGGAAAGAUUUUAUAAUUUAUCGGGAACCAAAUGUUUCUCCUUCACAAGUAACUGAAAAUAAUUUUCCUGAAAAGGUGUUACUGUGUUUUUCAAAUGGAAAUCAUUAUGAUAUUGUGUAUCCCAUAAAGUAUAAAGAAAGCUCUGCUAUGUGUCAGUCUCUCCUUUAUGAAUUGCUGUAUGAGAAGGUAUUUAAAACUGAUGUUAGUAAAAUUGUGAUGGAACUAGACACGUUGGAAGUAGCUGAUGAAGAUAACAGUGAAAUAUCAGAUUCAGAGGAUGACAGUUGCAAGAGUAAAACUGCUGCUGCUGCUGCUGCUGAUGUGAAUGGAUUUAAAUCUUUGUCAGGCAAUGAGCAGCUGAAGAACAAUGGGAACUCUACUAGCCUGCCUUUGUCUAGAAAGGUUCUUAAGUCACUCAAUCCUGCAGUCUAUAGAAAUGUGGAAUAUGAAAUUUGGCUGAAGUCUAAACAAGCUCAGCAAAAACGUGAUUAUUCCAUUGCUGCUGGCUUACAAUAUGAAGUUGGAGACAAAUGUCAAGUUAGGUUGGAUCACAAUGGAAAAUUUUUGAAUGCAGAUGUUCAAGGAGUUCAUUCUGAGAAUGGACCAGUUUUGGUUGAAGAACUGGGAAAGAAGCACACAUCAAAGAACCUCAAGGCACCUCCCCCAGAAAGCUGGAACACAGUGUCAGGGAAGAAGAUGAAAAAACCUUCCACUUCUGGACAAAAUUUCCAUUCUGAUGUGGAUUACAGAGGGCCAAAGAAUCCAAGCAAGCCAAUAAAAGCCCCAUCAGCACUACCUCCUCGACUGCAGCAUCCUUCAGGAGUAAGACAACAUGCGUUCUCUAGUCAUUCUUCAGGGUCACAGUCUCAGAAAUUCUCCAGUGAGCACAAAAAUCUUAGCCGGACACCUUCACAGAUCGUAAGAAAACCUGAUCGUGAAAGAGUUGAGGAUUUUGAUCACACAAGUCGAGAAUCUAACUAUUUCGGCCUUUCCCCAGAAGAGCGCAGAGAGAAGCAAGCUAUAGAAGAAUCCCGUUUACUCUAUGAGAUUCAGAACAGAGAUGAACAGGCUUUCCCAGCCCUUUCCAGCUCAUCAGUCAGUCAGUCAGCUUCUCAGAGUAGCAAUCCAUGUGUCCAGAGAAAAUCAUCACAUGUAAGCGAUAGAAAAGGAAGCAGGCGGAGAAUGGAUACAGAAGAACGAAAAGACAAAGACUCUAUUCAUGGACAUAGUCAGUUGGAUAAAAGACCCGAACCAAGCACAUUGGAGAAUAUUACUGAUGAUAAAUAUGCAACAGUUUCGUCACCAUCAAAGUCGAAGAAGUUAGAGUGCCCUUCUCCUGCAGAACAAAAGCCAGCAGAACAUGUGUCUUUGUCAAAUCCAGCUCCCCUUCUAGUUUCUCCAGAGGUACAUCUAACUCCUGCGGUGCCUUCUUUACCAGCCACUGUGCCAGCCUGGCCAAGUGAACCUACAACUUUUGGACCAACAGGUGUCCCUGCUCCAAUUCCCGUUUUGUCAGUGACACAGACUUUGACCACUGGACCUGAUUCUGCUGUAUCCCAAGCUCAUUUAACACCCUCUCCAGUUCCUGUGUCAAUACAGGCAGUUAACCAGCCCUUGAUGCCUUUGCCUCAGACAUUGAGCCUUUAUCAAGACCCACUCUAUCCUGGGUUUCCUUGUAAUGAAAAGGGAGAUCGAGCCAUUGUACCACCUUAUUCACUGUGUCAGACUGGGGAGGACCUACCUAAAGAUAAGAAUAUUCUUCGAUUCUUCUUCAAUCUUGGUGUGAAGUGGUGUUUUGUAGUAGAUAAUCUUCCUCGGAAACCAUAUACUGGUAAUAUAGUGCAAAGACUGAAAACAAAUAAUAAACAUAAUCCUGAUGUUUAUUUAUCAAAUGUCAAUCAGUGGAAUCUUUGACUGGCUUUUAAAAUAAGGGCAGUUUCAUCACACUGGCAUACUUGGCAAACCAGCAGCAUCACAACUGAAAACUCUACAAUAUGGAUGAAGAUAAACAAAAAUCGUAAAGUAACCUACAUAUCAGCUUUCUGUAUGCAAACGACAGCACAAGCAAAUCUCUGCAACUCUCCUCCUGAAAGAUCUUCAACAUUUCGUUCUUUUAGGUGGGUUAAAUCUACAAAGAACAUAGAGGCAUUGUGCUCAAUGUAUUUCACCUCUUCCAGGUAAAAUGUAUACUGCAUGUCAUCAUUUGAAGUUUGAAUGCUAUUUCAGUUGAAAAUUGUUUAAAUAUAACAAUUACUGGA